rnacentral:rRNA from 1 species
ACGUAGGUGGCAAGCGUUGUCCGGAUUUAUUGGGUUUAAAGGGUGCGUAGGCGGUCUGUUAAGUCAGUGGUGAAAUACGGCAGCUCAACUGUCGAGGUGCCAUUGAUACUGGCGGACUUGAGUACUGAUGAGGUAGGCGGAAUGGACGGUGUAGCGGUGAAAUGCUUAGAUAUCGUCCAGAACACCGAUAGCGAAGGCAGCUUACUAAGGAGUAACUGACGCUGAGGCACGAAAGUGUGGGGAUCAAACAGGAUUAGAUACCCUGGUAGUCCACACUGUAAACGUUGAUCACUCGAUGUUGGCGAUACACGGCCAGCGUCUUAGCAAAAGCGAUAAGUGAUCCACCUGGGGAGUACGCCCGCAAGGGUG